UUUGGUGGCGAUAGCGAAGAGGCCACACCCGUUCCCAUUCCGAACACGGCAGUUAAGCUCUUCAGCGCCGAUGGUAGUUGGGGGUUUCCCCCUGUGAGAGUAGGACGCCGCCAAGC
rnacentral:rRNA from 2 species